ACACGGCCCAGNACUCCUACGGGAGGCAGCAGUAGGGAAUCUUCCGCAAUGGACGAAAGUCUGACGGAGCAACGCCGCGUGAGUGAUGAAGGUUUUCGGAUCGUAAAACUCUGUUGUUAGGGAAGAACAAGUACCGUUCGAAUAGGGCGGUACCUUGACGGUACCUAACCAGAAAGCCACGGCUAACUACGUGCCAGCAGCCGCGGUAAUACGUAGGUGGCAAGCGUUGUCCGGAAUUAUUGGGCGUAAAGCGCGCGCAGGCGGUUUCUUAAGUCUGAUGUGAAAGCCCCCGGCUCAACCGGGGAGGGUCAUUGGAAACUGGGGAACUUGAGUGCAGAAGAGGAGAGUGGAAUUCCACGUGUAGCGGUGAAAUGCGUAGAGAUGUGGAGGAACACCAGUGGCGAAGGCGACUCUCUGGUCUGUAACUGACGCUGAGGCGCGAAAGCGUGGGGAGCGAACAGGAUUAGAUACCCUGGUAGUCCACGCCGUAAACGAUGAGUGCUAAGUGUUAGAGGGUUUCCGCCCUUUAGUGCUGCAGCAAACGCAUUAAGCACUCCGCCUGGGGAGUACGGUCGCAAGACUGAAACUCAAAGGAAUUGACGGGGGCCCGCACAAGCGGUGGAGCAUGUGGUUUAAUUCGAAGCAACGCGAAGAACCUUACCAGGUCUUGACAUCCUCUGACAACCCUAGAGAUAGGGCUUCCCCUUCGGGGGCAGAGUGACAGGUGGUGCAUGGUUGUCGUCAGCUCGUGUCGUGAGAUGUUGGGUUAAGUCCCGCAACGAGCGCAACCCUUGAUCUUAGUUGCCAGCAUUCAGUUGGGCACUCUAAGGUGACUGCCGGUGACAAACCGGAGGAAGGUGGGGAUGACGUCAAAUCAUCAUGCC
rnacentral:rRNA from 1 species